GUGGGCGUGCCGGAGUGGUCAAACGGGAUAGGCUUAGGACCUAUUAGCUUAGUGCUUACGCAGGUUCGAACCCUGCCGCUCACACCA
rnacentral:tRNA from 1 species